CAGCAGCCACGGUAAUACGUAGGGUGCAAGCGUUAAUCGGAAUUACUGGGCGUAAAGCGUGCGCAGGCGGUUUGUUAAGACAGAUGUGAAAUCCCCGGGCUCAACCUGGGAACUGCAUUUGUGACUGGCAAGCUAGAGUCUGGCAGAGGGGGGUGGAAUUCCGCGUGUAGCAGUGAAAUGCGUAGAUAUGCGGAGGAACACCGAUGGCGAAGGCAGCCCCCUGGGCCAACACUGACGCUCAUGCACGAAAGCGUGGGGAGCAAACAGGAUUAGAUACCCGUGUAGUCCCUGUCUCUUAUAC
rnacentral:rRNA from 1 species